rnacentral:rRNA from 1 species
GCUACCUGCAGUCGACGGCAGCACAGAAGAGCUUGCUCUUUGGGUGGCGAGUGGCGGACGGGUGAGUAAUGUCUGGGAAACUGCCCGAUGGAGGGGGAUAACUACUGGAAACGGUAGCUAAUACCGCAUAACGUCGCAAGACCAAAGUGGGGGACCUUCGGGCCUCACACCAUCAGAUGUGCCCAGAUGGGAUUAGCUAGUAGGUGGGGUAAUGGCUCACCUAGGCGACGAUCCCUAGCUGGUCUGAGAGGAUGACCAGCCACACUGGAACUGAGACACGGUCCAGACUCCUACGGGAGGCAGCAGUGGGGAAUAUUGCACAAUGGGCGCAAGCCUGAUGCAGCCAUGCCGCGUGUAUGAAGAAGGCCUUCGGGUUGUAAAGUACUUUCAGCGGGGAGGAAGGCGGUGAGGUUAAUAACCUCAUCGAUUGACGUUACCCGCAGAAGAAGCACCGGCUAACUCCGUGCCAGCAGCCGCGGUAAUACGGAGGGUGCAAGCGUUAAUCGGAAUUACUGGGCGUAAAGCGCACGCAGGCGGUCUGUUAAGUCAGAUGUGAAAUCCCCGGGCUUAACCUGGGAACUGCAUUUGAAACUGGCAGGCUUGAGUCUCGUAGAAGGGGGUAGAAUUCCAGGUGUAGCGGUGAAAUGCGUAAAGAUCUGGAGGAAUACCGGUGGCGAAAGCGGCCCCCUGGACGAAAACUGACCCUCAAGUGCCAAAGCCUGGGGAGCGAACAGGAUUAAAUACCCUGGUAGUCCACGCCCUAAACGAUGUCCACUUGGAGGUUGUGCCCUUUAAGCCUGGCUUCCGGAACUAACCCGUUAAGUCCACCCCCUGGGGAGUACCGCCCCAA